rnacentral:rRNA from 1 species
UGAUCCUACGGGGGGCAGCAGUGGGGAAUAUUGCACAAUGGGGGAAACCCUGAUGCAGCAACGCCGCGUGAAGGAAGACGGUUUUCGGAUUGUAAACUUCUGUUCUUAGUGAAGAAGAAUGACGGUAGCUAAGGAGCAAGCCACGGCUAACUACGUGCCAGCAGCCGCGGUAAUACGUAGGGGGCAAGCGUUAUCCGGAUUUACUGGGUGUAAAGGGAGCGUAGACGGCUGCGCAAGUCAGAAGUGAAAGCCCGGGGCUCAACCGCGGGACUGCUUUUGAAACUGUGUAGCUAGAGUGCAGGAGG